UGACUUGCGUUUGCCUCCAUUACCUUUGG
rnacentral:piRNA from 1 species